rnacentral:rRNA from 1 species
AUUGAACGCUGGCGGCAGGCCUAACACAUGCAAGUCGAGCGGAUGAAGGGAGCUUGCUCCUGGAUUCAGCGGCGGACGGGUGAGUAAUGCCUAGGAAUCUGCCUGGUAGCGGGGGAUAACGUCCGGAAACGGGCGCUAAUACCGCAUACGUCCUGAGGGUGAAAGUGGGGGAUCUUCGGACCUCACGCUAUCAGAUGAGCCUAGGUCGGAUUAGCUAGUUGGUGGGGUAAAGGCCUACCAAGGCGACGAUCCGUAACUGGUCUGAGAGGAUGAUCAGUCACACUGGAACUGAGACACGGUCCAGACUCCUACGGGAGGCAGCAGUGGGGAAUAUUGGACAAUGGGCGAAAGCCUGAUCCAGCCAUGCCGCGUGUGUGAAGAAGGUCUUCGGAUUGUAAAGCACUUUAAGUUGGGAGGAAGGGCAGUAAGUUAAUACCUUGCUGUUUUGACGGUACCAACAGAAUAAGCACCGGCUAACUUCGUG